rnacentral:rRNA from 1 species
ACUCCUGCGGGAGGCAGCAGUGGGGAAUUUUGGACACUGGGCGAAAGCCUGAUCCAGCCAUGCCGCGUGCAGGAUGAAGGCCUUCGGGUUGUAAACUGCUUUUGUACGGAACGAAACGGCCUUUUCUAAUAAAGAGGGCUAAUGACGGUACCGUAAGAAUAAGCACCGGCUAACUACGUGCCAGCAGCCGCGGUAAUACGUAGGGUGCAAGCGUUAAUCGGAAUUACUGGGCGUAAAGCGUGCGCAGGCGGUUAUGUAAGACAGUUGUGAAAUCCCCGGGCUCAACCUGGGAACUGCAUCUGUGACUGCAUAGCUAGAGUACGGUAGAGGGGGAUGGAAUUCCGCGUGUAGCAGUGAAAUGCGUAGAUAUGCGGAGGAACACCGAUGGCGAAGGCAAUCCCCUGGACCUGUACUGACGCUCAUGCACGAAAGCGUGGGGAGCAAACAGGAUUAGAAACCCUUGUAGUCCCAUG